rnacentral:rRNA from 1 species
UACAGAGGUCUCAAGCGUUGUUCGGAUUCAUUGGGCGUAAAGGGUGCGUAGGCGGCGCGGUAAGUCGGGUGUGAAAUCUUGGAGCUUAACUCCGAAGCUGCAUUCGAUACUGCCGUGCUUGAGGACUGGAGAGGAGACUGGAAUUUACGGUGUAGCGGUGAAAUGCGUAGAUAUCGUAAGGAAGACCAGUGGCGAAGGCGGGUCUCUGGACAGUUCCUGACGCUGAGGCACGAAGGCCAGGGGAGCAAACGGG